GAUGAACGCUGGCGGCGUGCCUAAUACAUGCAAGUCGAGCGAACAGAUGAGGAGCUUGCUCCUCUGACGUUAGCGGCGGACGGGUGAGUAACACGUGGAUAACCUACCUAUAAGACUGGGAUAACUUCGGGAAACCGGAGCUAAUACCGGAUAAUAUAUUGAACCGCAUGGUUCAAUAGUGAAAGACGGUUUUGCUGUCACUUAUAGAUGGAUCCGCGCCGCAUUAGCUAGUUGGUAAGGUAACGGCUUACCAAGGCAACGAUGCGUAGCCGACCUGAGAGAGUGAUCGGCCACCCUGGAACGGGGACACGGUCCAGACUCCUGCGGGAGGCAGCAGAAGGGAAUCUUCCGCAAUGGGCGAAAGCCUGACGGAACAACGCCGCGUGAGUGAUGAAGGUCUUCGGAUCGUAAAACUCUGUUAUUAGGGAAGAACAAAUGUGUAAGUAACUAUGCACGUCUUGACGGUACCUAAUCAGAAAGCCACGGCUAACUACGUG
rnacentral:rRNA from 1 species